rnacentral:rRNA from 1 species
UACGUAGGGACCAAGCGUUGUUCGGAUUUACUGGGCGUAAAGGGCGCGUAGGCGGCAUGACAAGUCACUUGUGAAAUCUCUGGGCUUAACCCAGAACGGCCAAGUGAUACUGUCGCGCUAGAGUGCGGAAGGGGCUACUGGAAUUCUCGGUGUAGCGGUGAAAUGCGUAGAUAUCGAGAGGAACACCUGCGGCGAAGGCGGGUAGCUGGGCCGACACUGACGCUGAUGCGCGAAAGCCAGGGGAGCGAACGGG